GCCUGGGUGGCUCAGUCAGUUGAGCGUCCGACUUUGGCUCAGGUCAUGAUCUCACGGUUUGUGGGUUCGAGCCCGCGUCAGGCU
rnacentral:tRNA from 1 species